rnacentral:lncRNA from 1 species
AAGUAAUUAUGCCAUUGCUCAUAAAUGAGGCGACAUAAGUGUUUAUUAUUAAAAAAUUUAAAGUUAAAAUAUAUAUUAUAAUAUUAUAUGUUAAUGUUUAAGUAUAUAUAUUAUAUAUAUCAUAUUAUAUAAUAAUAAAACAAAGAAAUAAAAGAAAAAGAAAGAAACAAGGAAACAAAGAAGCAGAAACAAAGCAAAAGAAAAAGAAAGAAAGGAGAAAACUAGGGUUUCAAAGUUCCAAGUUCAAUUGGUUAGUCAAUUUAGUCCAUUUUUUGUAAUAUUUAUGUUUUUAGAAUUUCGGUGUUAAAUACUACCCGGCC